GCCGACUUAGCUCAAUUGGUAGAGCAACUGAUUUGUAAUCCGUAGGUUGGGGGUUCUAGUCCUCUAGUCGGCACCA
rnacentral:tRNA from 1 species